rnacentral:rRNA from 1 species
UACAGAGGUCUCAAGCGUUGUUCGGAUUCAUUGGGCGUAAAGGGUGUGUAGGUGGCGCGCUAAGUCGGGUGUGAAAUUUCGGAGCUUAACUCCGAAACUGCAUUUGAUACUGGCGUGCUUGAGGACUGGAGAGGAGACUGGAAUUCAUGGUGUAGCAGUGAAAUGCGUAGAGAUCAUGAGGAAGACCAGUGGCGAAGGCGGGUCUCUGGGCAGUAACUGACGCUGAGGAGCGAAAGCGUGGGGAGCGAACAGG